rnacentral:rRNA from 1 species
GACGAACGCUGGCGGCGUGCCUAAUACAUGCAAGUAGAACGCAGUUGCGAACGGGUGAGUAACGCGUAGGUAACUGCCUCAUAGCGGGGGAUAACUAUUGGAAACGUUAGCCAAUACCGCAUACUGUGAGAUGGACCUGCGUUGUAUUAGCUAGUUGGUGAGGUAAAGGCUCACCAAGGCGAAGAUACAUAGCCGACCUGGGGGGGUGAUCGGCCACAACGGGACUGGGAAAAGGCCCAGAAUCCUUCCGGAAGGAGGAGUGGGGAAAUUUCGGAAAUGGGCGGAAGUCUGACCGAGCAACGCCGGGGGGGUGAAGAAGGUUUUCGGAUCUGAAAGCUCUGUUGUGAGAGAAGCGGUAACUAACGAGAAAGGGACGGCUAACUACGUGCCAGCAGCCGCGGUAAUUC